AGGCACUGAUAAGCCAUGAUAUGAUUGACUUAGAAACUAGAAUUCAAGAGAGCAUAAGUACAAUUUUUCAGCUAUAUAUUGGAGAAGUACUCAAGACAGCAAAUUACAAAACUUGUUUAACCCAGUUGUAAACUGUGUUGUUUUCAAGAUACUAAUAUCAUACAUAUGAAGCACUUCUGCAGGUGACCUGGGGCAGAGUGUAGUCUUCCAAGAUAAAGGAAUUGAGAUUGGCCUUCCUAUCACCUGAGGUAAAUAGUCCAAGUCAAAGUGACUUCAAAGCAGGUAUGUUAUCUGCCUCCUCAAUUCAUUGCUGCCCAUAAAUCUUUUCUGUAUAUAAAUUUUGGAGCCAAUAUCAACCAUAUUGCAUGAAAUUCUAUCCCUUACAUGUUAAUUAUACUAUUACAUACUAAUUUCAUACUAUUGCAUGAAAUUCUACUACUUAUAUACUAAUCUUAAUAACUACCCUGAAUUCUGCAAAUUACAGAUGGAGAGCCUGUGACUCAGAAAGGUUGAGUAACCUCCCAGGAUCAUAGAAGUAGAUAAGAAGUGGCUGAACCCUGCUGUCUAAAAGCUGUGUUCAGAAGGAAAGAGUAACUGAUGAAUUAACUUAAUCCAUGUGUCAUGUAUGGGCCUAUCUUUGAGGGAAUAUUAGUAACUUGCUCUUUAAAAUUGUCAUGAUUUUUCCAUUAAAACAACUGAUCUUUGUGCAGCAGAAAUUUGAACUUUCUGACCUGAAUUGUGUUUGUAAGCAGGUGUUAGGAAGUAAUUAGUAGGCAAUGGUGUAGAUCCUGGUCACCUGUUACAGCUAGAAAGAGACUUCAGCUAGCAUCUGAAUGGUAUAUUAUAAAGUGGCUGACUUCACACACUUAGGCAUUAUUUUCCCUUACUGAGAAGUUACCCACAACUGUAUUCUUCUGGAUAGGAUCAGACAAGAAACUGCCUACUACAUGCAUAUCAUCAAAAGGCCAGAAGUACCCAUCCCAGGAGGAUUGACUGUAGCUCUGGACACCACACAAGAUCACCAGAGGGACUGGGGUUGUGGUUCAGUGAUAGAGCAUUCACCUAGCAUGUGUGAGACACUGGGUUCAAUCCUCAGCAUCACAUAAAAAUAAUAAUAAAUACAGAAAAUAACGAGAUUGUGUCCACUACAACUAAUAAUAUUUAAAAAAAAAAAAAUCACCAGAGAAAGAAGCUGAGGGAGCCACUAAAACCUUAUGCAAAGGCUUUUUCAAACCUGUCCUCCAGCUGUAACUCUUUCCAGUCUUCAAUCCAGGGAGAUAUGUAGGUUGAGAGACACUGGCCAGUGUCACUCAAUAAUAAGGAAGUAAGGAGUCCUCUUCUUUAUACCUGCCUGAUUAACAUUUACUCCUAGGAAACAAUUAAUAUUUAAAAAGCUCAAUAUUUUAAAAUCCUUAUAUAUUGACUGCUAUUUUGGGUAAAUUGCUAUUAAAUCAAGGCAAGAUGGCAAAACAUGAAAAUGGGAAAUUGGCUUUUAUCUUUUUAGCCUUAUUCUGUUUUACAGAGUUAUAUUUGCAUCGUGAAAGCAUUUACCUUCAAAUGACUUCUUGAAAAUGUAUGAAAAAUAAAAGGAUGAUCAUCUGUCCUGUACAUUGCUUUGAUCAUUACAGAAAUCAGUUGGAGUUCUCUUCUAACUGUGAGCCUGGCAGCUGAAAUGGGCAGGAGAGAAGCCAUUCUGUGUCUUCUUCCUUGUGAUGCUACUACAGAGGCCUGGCUUAUGAAAAGCAGGACAUUUGGUUUAGACAGAUGGAGGGUAGGGUCAUUUUCAAAAUGAAAACGAGUGUACUAAUCACACUGGGAAAUUGGCACGACCAUCACUGCUGCUGUGAUAGACUGACUUUUAUUUAGUCUCUAAUAGGCAUUUGGGGAAUAGAUUGGCUUUUUAGGGGAGAUGGAGGAAAGAAGGCCCUUUAAUUAACAAUAGAAAUUCUAGAAAGCAAUAAACUAGGUAGGAUAUUAUAAAUAAUCACAAAGAAUCAUUUUGUUUGCAACAGAAUCUUAAAAGCUGGAGCAUAUAUAAAAAAGUAAGUCUGUAAUACCAUUCCCAGCAAUAAGAAGGCAUUUGUGUUAAUAAAUGAUUUAAUGCCUUAAAGAAAGGAAUUGGGCUUUCAGGAAAUGGCUUAGGACUCAGGGUGGAUUUUGCUGAAUAAGGGGAGGCAAAUUUACUGUGUAGAAUUCCACUGAGGCAUAGUGUGGCAGGGCUGAAAAGCAUGAUAUUUGGUUCUGAAUUUAUUUAUGUUUCUGCCUGCCAAAAUGUGACAUGACUAAAUUUCAUGUAUUCUAUUUGGCAGUCUCUUUUAAAACUAGUUGCGAG
rnacentral:lncRNA from 1 species